CCCUUAGAUGUUCUGGGCCGCACGCGUGCUACACUGAGUGGAUCAGCGGGUCAGGUUGCGCGAAAGUGUUUCCUAAUCUUUAAAUCCGCUCGUGAUGGGGAUUGACGGUUGCAAUUUUCCGUCAUGAACGAGGAAUACCUUGUAAGCGCGGGUCAUCAUCCCGCGCUGAAUACGUCCCUGCCCUUUGUACACACCGCCCGUCGCUCCUACCGAUUGAGUGGUCCGGUGAGGCUUUGGGAUCUGAGCGGAAAGAGCGUUUCGCUGUAUCUGCCCGGAAAACUCAGUCGAACCUUAUCAUUUAGAGGAAGGAGAAGUCGUAACA
rnacentral:rRNA from 1 species